AUUGAUUAUCUGAACUUUCACCGAGUUCUACACGUACAAUACAUAUAUCAGUUUCUAGAGGUGUACAACUAAAAGAGAUGAUUGUAAUUUUAACUUUGCCAAGUUUUAUGAUUUUUAAAUUCAGUAUUAACAAGAGCAGCAAUGUUGAAAAUGUCAUCAGUGUGAGAGAGAGGUUUUAAACCCAAGAAAUCUUUGGUUAAUAUAUGAUCCUCCUCAUUCAUACUUCCAUUGAAGUAGAGUUGUUGAUCUUCGUCCUCGUUCUCCUUUUUUGAAUUCAAAUUGUUGAAUCCACCGAAUAAUAUCGCAUCUUCAAACAUUGUUGACCCAUCAAAGCCAUUAGAAAAAGAUGUCAUGAUGCCACUUAUAUUAUUUGCAGGCCCAGUAAUAGUGGUCAGGUCUUCACGUGAGGACAAUUUCUGCUGAGUUUGUUUGGUAGCAGAAUCAGUACUAGUAACAGACACGUGAGUAUUGUGGGGUAUUUUUGCUGUGCCUGUGUAAGCAGCAGUAGCAGUGACAGCACUUGCUUUGUUACUAAUUGUAGCACCAAACUGGGCUGCUUUCUGCAGCAAUGCAGUUGCAGAAAUGUGUACUGGAGAGACCACACCUGAUUCUCCCAUUGAAUCGUAACCUAAUGUAGGUCCUCUGAGAUUAGGGUUUGGGUUCUGAUGAUGAAGAUUUAAAUCUUUGUGGCUGCUUUGACUGUAUUGUUGAUCUAACCUAGUAGUAGCUGGAAAAAUUGACGAUGAGCUAAAAUUACUGAGCGGUACUGAAGGACUAGGAUUAAUAGCUCCAAGCUGAAAUGGUUGUGAAUUCGUGGUAAUUAGCCAUGGAGGAAUCUCAAUAUGUCUGAAAUCGCUACUUUGCUGCUCUUUUUUCAUGGGAAACGUAGCAGCUUGAAUCUGUUCAUGGCUAUUAAAGUAGUGAGGCUGUUGAAACUGGAGAUUCAUUUGAGGUGAGAAAAUUGUUGGAUUUCGUUCAUUUAUUACUGAUCUUGCGCUCUCCAUAGCUAAAGUCUCGCAGAAUGCUCUGUGUGUGAUGAAACUAUCUCGUCUUGAGAAAAUAGUACCACAUUCACAUUUGUAUUCUCUAGUACCACAAGUCUUGAAGUGAGCUUUGCAAUCAGAUUGAACAGCAUAACGCUUUGAACAUUUCUCA
rnacentral:misc_RNA from 1 species